rnacentral:misc_RNA from 1 species
UACGGAGGGGGCAAGCGUUAUUCGGAUUGACUGGGCGUAAAGGGUGCGUAGGCGGCCCGGCAAGUCUGGUGUGAAAUCUUCACCGCUCAACGGGAAGAGGCCGCUGGAAACUGCCGGGCUGGAGUGUGGCAGAGGCGCGCGGAAUUCCUGGUGUAGCGGUGGAAUGUGUAGAGAUCAGGAAGAACACCUGUGGCGAAGGCGGCGCGCUGGGCCACGACUGACGCUGAGGCACGAAAGCGUGGGGAGCAAACGGG